rnacentral:rRNA from 1 species
UGAGUAACGCGUGGGAAUCUACCGUGCCCUGCGGAAUAGCUCCGGGAAACUGGAAUUAAUACCGCAUACGCCCUACGGGGGAAAGAUUUAUCGGGGUAUGAUGAGCCCGCGUUGGAUUAGCUAGUUGGUGGGGUAAAGGCCUACCAAGGCGACUAUCCAUAGCUGGUCUGAGAGGAUGAUCAGCCACAUUGGGACUGAGACACGGCCCAAACUCCUACGGGAGGCAGCAAUGGGGAAUAUUGGACAAUGGGCGCAAGCCUGAUCCAGCCAUGCCGCGUGAGUGAUGAAGGCCUUAGGGUUGUAAAGCUCUUUCACCGGAGAAGAUAAUGACGGUAUCCGGAGAAGAAGCCCCGGCUAACUUCGUGCCAUCAGCCGC